GUAGGAUAGCUCAGUUGGUUAGAGCAUGGUGCUGAUAACAUCAGGGUUACAGGUUUGAUCCCUGUAAGGGACAGCUACA
rnacentral:tRNA from 1 species